rnacentral:rRNA from 1 species
AUGGAUUGAGGGCGAAGCGAAGCGGCUGGUUACCAGGCAAAUCCGGUAACCUUAAGGCUAGAGCGUGACAGGUAAGCGAAAUCUAAGGAAAGUAGCGAAGCACAUGAUGACGGCUUCCAGGAAAAGCUUCUGGCAAUGCAUAUGCGGCCCGUACCAAAACCGACACAGGUGGGCAGGGAGAGAAUCCCGAGGUGAGCGAGAGAACUGUUGCCAAGGAACUCGGCAAAAUGACUCCGUAAGUUAGCGAGAAGGAGUGCUUAAGCAAUUAAGCCGCAGUGAAGAGGCCCAAGCGACUGUUUAACUAAAACACAGCUCUCUGCGAAGUCGCAAGACGAAGUAUAGGGGGUGACACCUGCCCGGUGCUGGAAGGUUAAGAGGAUCUGUUAAGAGCGAUCUGAAGCAGUGAUCCGAAGCCCCAGUGAACGGCGGCCGUAACAAUAACGGUCCUAAGGUAGCGAAAUUCCUUGUCAGGUAAGUUCUGACCCGCACGAAAGGUGUAACGAUUUGGGCGCUGUCUCGGCAGCAGACUCGGUGAAAUCUUAGUACCUGUGAAAAUGCAGGUUACCCGCAACUAGACGGAAAGACCCCAUGGAGCUUUACUGCAGCCUGAUAUUGAAUUCUGGUCAUACAUGUACAGGAUAGGUGGGAGACAAAGAGACGUGCACGCCAGUGUACGAGGAGUCGACGUUGGGAUACCACUCUUGUGUGACCGGGGUUCUAACCUGGUAUCGAGAACAGGUACGGGGAGAGUGUCAGGUGGGCAGUUUGACUGGGGCGGUCGCCUCCCAAAGAGUAACGGAGGCGCCCAAAGGUACGCUCAGAUUGGAUGGAAACCAAUCGACGAGUGCAAUUGCAGAAGCGUGCUUGACUGUGAGACAAACAAGUCGAACAGGGACGAAAGUCGGGAAUAGUGAUCCGGCGGUGCCGAAUGGAAGGGCCGUCGCUCAACGGAUAAAAGCUACCCUGGGGAUAACAGGCUGAUCUCGCCCAAGAGUUCACAUCGACGGCGAGGUUUGGCACCUCGAUGUCGGCUCAUCGCAUCCUGGAGCUGGAUUCGGUUCCAAGGGUUGGGCUGUCCGCCCAUUAAAGCGGUACGCGAGCUGGGUUCAGAACGUCGUGAGACAGUUCGGUCCCUAUCUGUUGUGGGCGAAGGAGAUCUGCGGAGAGCUGUCCUCAGUACGAGAGGACCGGGAUGGACCUACCGCUGGUGCACCGGUUGUUCCGCCAGGGGCAUAGCCGGGUAGCUAAGUAGGGAAAGGAUAAGCGCUGAAAGCAUCUAAGCACGAAGCCUACUCCAAGAUGAGAUCUCCCAUUCGCAAGAAGUAAGACCCCUUAAAGACGAUAAGGUAGAUAGGCCAGGGAUGGAAGUGCAGUGAUGUACGGAGUUGACUGGUACUAAUCGGUCGAGGACUUAACCAA